GGUCCCGUCGUCUAGCUGGCCUAGGACGCGGCCCUCUCAAGGCUGAAACGGGAGUUCGAAUCUCCUCGGGACUA
rnacentral:tRNA from 1 species